UAACUAGUUCAGAUAAAACAUUGAUUCUAUUUUCUUUAUUUUCUUGGAACAAUCUGAUGUGUGAAAUACUUUUGCUCAGUUUGAGAAGAACCAGUAAAGCUUGACUCCUUGCGCCUUGCCAGGACAGGCACGUCCAAACCUACAGCAGAUGCCUGCCACAUUGACAUGAAGAGGAAUUAAUGGGACAAGGAAUCAAAAAGAAAUGUUUGGAGCUGUCUUAAAAGCCCCAUCAGUGCAUGGGUCCCUCAUCACUGGAAGCCAUGGAGGACCUAAACUCUGUGACUGUGGGCACACUAAAGCGUAGAGUACGACAGAGGAAACGGAUUCAUGAGAUUAUCAGGACCAAGUUGCAGCGAAACCUCUCCUGCUCAGGAUCUAAACUGAAGAGCACUCUAACAGGCUUCUUCCCCGUAGUGAAAUGGCUUCCCAAGUACAAGGUGAAGGACUAUAUAUGGGGAGAUCUGAUGUCUGGGCUCAUAG